rnacentral:lncRNA from 1 species
CUAAUUUAUAGCUUUUGAUGAUUUCUGUGAUGUAGAAGAUAGCACUGAACAUGUAACAAUCAGCUAUGUAAUAAUGCACCAAUGAAAAUGUAACAGUGAGUCAGUAGAAGCUGGCUCCAGCACCUCCCUAGGUAACAGCCACAGUCAGGGACACAAUAUAGAUGAUGAAUCAACAAAGGAGACAGAGAAAAAUAUUAAAAUGCCUGUCAAAUACUGUCUGUGAGCCAAUUUAAUAGGUAGUGUGCUUUCCUCUGCCCUCGACUUCUGGAUCUCUGAAAGAUAGUAAGGAAAAAUCAGUCAUGCAGAGUGACUCCAUGCUGCAGAGGUGGAAGCUACAAAUCUAUCAGGAAAGAAGAAUUCAGGAACAAGUUCUGUGUACAUCUGGGGUUUUCGUUGCUCCUGGACCACAAAGCUGCUUGACUUUCAAAGUGUUUCGGCCAUGAGGAAGAGUCAUUAUUGUGGAACUACCUAAAACCAAGAAAUUAUUGAGGCAAAAAAAAGAAUAAGAGCUGAGCUUGUGCAAUGUUCAGUCCAAUUUCCAUGAUGAAUUGCUUUGGGGGGAAAAGCUCUGAAUCAGCAUCUGAAGUCACCAAGGUUCAUCCCAGCCAAAGCUAACCCUCUGAAAGGUGUCCAUCACUAACUGCAAAAUGUUGUUUCUGGCACGUGCAUGUGCACACACGCGCACACACACGCGCACACACGCACGCACACACGCGCGCACACACAAAUAGCUCUCAGCUGUCUUCAUUGCAGAUCUUGAUUUCCUAAUCCUUAGUAAAUGGAAAGGCGCAUAACGGAAAUGAUAUUCUUGUCCUGUGUCGCUCUAAGUAUCCAUUAAACUGAG